UUUUUUGAAGGGACAGUUUCUCUCAGCUGUUUCCUGUUAGUGUUACUCUUGGCCUCUCUGAAACAGUGCGUUUAAUUCCUUGGGUUCCAGUGGGUCAUGACUUGGUCCCAGUCGGAAACGAACGUUGUUUCGGCCCAUAUUAGGGUGAAGACUAUUAAAAAAAACAGCGCGAGGACGUGAAUUUGUGGCCCAUGCUAAGCUCAGCUGUGGCGAAUUAGCUUAGCUAACUACCGUUGGUAUCCAGCAAACAGACAGACCCUCACUGGCUUUACUCGCAUCCCUGUCAGUCUGCAAAUGAACACGCAGGCGCAGCAGUGGGACGGGUACGUCAGGUUGGCCUGGUGCAGCUUCCCGAAGAGCUGCAGAGGAGGGAGCUCCUUCAAAUGGUAGGCGGACCUCGCAAUCAGCCGCUGGAGGCCACCGAGGACGGAGCCUGGGAGGGAGCGGAGAGCUGUGUGGGAGACGUCCCUGCAGGAGCAAACACAAACAACCUCUGAGCUCAGGUUGAGAGCUGAGUGUACCUGAGCGACCAUCCCUCUGGAAGUCCACGUGGUGCCAUUCUCCGUCGUUGACCUUUUUGCUGACAGCCUUGGUCUUUGUGGUUCCCGAGCCCAUGUCAAGCAGUAAAUACAAAUGCCCAUCCAGCAUCUCAAUGGCGAAGAAAUCCACCUUGCAAGAUGUGGCCACGAGGAGCCAAAUUCACGCCAGUCACUCCGGCAGGCGGCCAAUCGCUGCACGCGUGCCUCUUAGCGCCGAGCGGCUCGCUCUCAUCUCCACUUGGGUGCUGCUCUCUUGUCGGCCGCGCUAAAUUAUCAGAAUGAACAUAAAAAUCCCACAUGAUGAGUAAGAAGGAGGAGCCGUGCUGCACUUUGCUGGUGCCGACCGGUUCCGCUGGUCUCCCGGACCCACAUAUGGUGGAGCUCGCAUGUUCAGGAGGGCGCUCGCGAGGCGGGGCGGCGUGACACGAGCCAAGGAGACAAUGUGAGGAGGACUAAAGGGUGUGACGGAAAACAUGCCCAAGCGACGCCAGCGUCCGUCUGCGCUCCUGCCGUACGACAACGUGUGAGAAUGGGGCGCUUUGAUUGCCGACGCUUUAUGAGUCACAAGUGGUGACUCACGAUCCACCUCCCCUGAACGCACGCAGACAAACACACCUCGCUCCCUCUCCUGCCUUCAUCCACUGACCGUGAAGAAUGUGUGCAGGCAGCCUUACUCAUGCAUAUUUACACUGAGCACACACACUCGCUCACCUACUCAGCGGGCGCUCUCUAAAGGUUAUUGUGCGCGUGUGUGUGUGUGUGUGUGUGCGUUUUAAAGGUCACUCCGAGCUCGGCCGACCGCUCGUCCGCGCCGAUCGGCGGAUUGAUAACGAGAGCGCAGCCGCUGCUACCUGGGCAGCCCGUCUCGUAGCCAAUAGUGGGAAAAUGAAAGGAAUAACGUAAACAAGCGUAGCUGGCAAUUAUGUCCAAGAGCCACUUCACGGCCCCUCUCAGCCCAUUCACCCGGACCCCUGCGUGCUCCAUUCUUGGCCAGACAGAAUGAAGAGAAAGGGUAAAAUCUGCUACUUGGAUUUAAGCACAUUUUCCAUUCAGAUUAUCGCUGCUCAAUAACCCCCCACCCUCCCCAGAAAAGGAACAGAAAUCCAUUUCCCCCUCUUCCUUUGGCUGCUCGAUACUUAUGAAAAUCCAAUUUGGCUCCCUCUUUUCUUUCUCCCCUCCACUAUUCACGUAUCUUCACCCACUCGGCGUGAUUAGCGAUCUGUGGGUAGCGUUUCCAGAGAGAACGAUGGCUGUGUUUUAUGGCGGGGGGGAAAGGUCCGGGGCUCCCCAUCAGGGCUGGCGUCCACUGGAGAAUGACUGGGCAGGGAGGGCAGACAGGAGCACCGCUGUCCCUUUGCAGAUACAGGCAGUCGCUCUACAUCACAAGCCAGAAGACGACUCACUUUAUCUCUCCCUUGCUUCCUCUUUCCCCGCUCCCUCUAUCAUUCAUUCCUUUAGCUCUGCUCUUACAGCCACAGUCUCUUUUUCUCAAUUUCUCCGCCACACGUACACACAGGCAGACACACAUGCUAUAUAUCUUUCUAAGACACCCUUCCCCACACCCAAUCCGCCCCCUCAAAGAAACUCAUUUCAGCUUUGCGGCUCCUCAAAAAGCCUCUUUACGCUGAGCUAACCUAAGCUAGGAUUCAUCUGCACCAUUUGACAGCCUUUACAUCUCAGUAUGCAGAGCAAACACACACACACACACACACACACAGAGCUUUUUUUUACAUGUACAGUUUCUGAAAGACACUUCAAAGGUUUUGGAAGAAUUAA